UGGGGAAUAUUGCACAAUGGGCGAAAGCCUGAUGCAGCGACGCCGCGUGAGGGAUGACGGCCUUCGGGUUGUAAACCUCUUUCAGUAGGGACGAAGCACAAGUGACGGUACCUGCAGAAGAAGCACCGGCUAACUACGUGCCAGCAGCCGCGGUAAUACGUAGGGUGCGAGCGUUGUCCGGAAUUACUGGGCGUAAAGAGCUCGUAGGCGGUUUGUCACGUCGUCUGUGAAAUCCUAGGGCUUAACCCUGGACGUGCAGGCGAUACGGGCUGACUUGAGUACUACAGAGGAGACUGGAAUUUCUGGUGUAGCGGUGGAAUGCACAGAUAUCAGGAAGAACACCGAUGGCGAAGGCGGGUCUCUGGGUAGUAACUGACGCUGAGGAGCGAAAGCAUGGGUAGCGAACAGG
rnacentral:rRNA from 1 species